UACGUAGGGUGCGAGCGUUAAUCGGAAUUACUGGGCGUAAAGCGUGCGCAGGCGGUUCGUUGUGUUGGCGGUGAAAGCCCCGGGCUCAACCUGGGAAUGGCCGUUGAAACUGGCGAACUGGAGUGUGGCAGAGGGGGGUGGAAUUCCGCGUGUAGCAGUGAAAUGCGUAGAGAUGCGGAGGAACACCGAUGGCGAAGGCAGCCCCCUGGGCUAACACUGACGCUCAGGCACGAAAGCGUGGGGAGCAAACAGG
rnacentral:rRNA from 1 species